GAUGAGUCUACAGAAGACACAAGAAAUGUUACAAAAUCAUAUUCGAAGAAAGUAGAUGUCCUUUGACAUUUACUACACCUCGGAAUCUCUUUAUUAAGUACAUUCUUCUUUUGUUCUUUCCAAGGUCAUUUAGACCUUUCACUAGACUACUCAAGUCUAUUAUUACAGUCCACUGUCUUAGGUCCUAUUUUAAUCCUUUUAGGAAUAGGAACUUGGACUUUGGCUAGACACCCC
rnacentral:lncRNA from 1 species